GUAGAAAAUCUUGAGCCUGGAGGAUAGCUCAGGGCUUGUGACCUUCUCCAUGUGAGGGAGGACAUGCAGGAGGAGCCCACUCGGCAGGAUUAGAGGCAGCAUGUGAACCUUUUUUUUUUUCUUCUUUUAUUUUCUAAACUUGUUUAAUGUACAGGGUCCAAACCUAUGAGAGGUGGAGGCUUGCCAGAGCCAGCCUAUGGUGCGGUCGGGAGGAGGGACCAGCCAGAAAUAUUAUCUGGCCACAGGUGAGCAGGAGGAGGGAAAAGAGCUGGACAGAAAGAGUUGGACGGUGUGAAACGGAGGACGGGGGGGAACGAUGGACCUGGGGAGCAGCAUUACACCUGUCUGUGGUCUAAGAACAAUGAAACAUUGUGGGACCUGCAGGACCUGAGCAGACCUACGAUGCUGUCUCAGGUAGCUCCAGCUUCUUCUACCAGAGCUUCUACCACCGGACCCUGGCGGAAUCCGUUUAAAUAUCCAUUAUGUAGAUAUUGUGAUUUACAAUAUUUUUUUUUUUUUUGG